rnacentral:lncRNA from 1 species
UCUGUGCUGCCUUCCCUCCAGGUUUUAUGUUUGAUCAAAACAAGGGGAUAGACAGAAGAGGGAGCGGAGAAAAAUAGAGGGAUCGCCAGUAAAGCCGCUGAAGGAGAUUUCUCGUAAAAUGGUAAAGCUAAAGAACUCAGAAACUACUACUGACUGAGCAAAGACGAUGAAGCCACGGAGUGACACAUGCUAUCAUGACAUAUGUAAAAAGCCUAACCAUACAACACAGUGUGUUUCUCUACAGGUGAUUCAUUUGUGAGCGGAAUCAACCACAGGACCAGGUGCUGUUCCAACUCCAAGACGAGCAAGAAGCCCGAUUCCAAGCGACGGCCGCAAGGAACGACACCACUAGGCAGGAUUUGUUUGCACAAUAACAAAUUGGCAAACCUGCUGGGUCUGGAAGACGGUUCUGUCUGAUGCUGCACCUUAGCAGAGCCAGAGGAAGACAAACCCAAGGCUCAUGGAAGCCAGAACACGGGGCUGCACCGAAGUGAACCCACAGUUUUCUCCUCAUGGUUUGCCUUACAGAUGGAACCAACUCUCCAGGCAUUUGUGGCUGGAACUAGGUUGGCGUAGCAGGUGGGUGGUGGUGCUGAGCAGGGAUAAAUGGAGCAGAUUGCCAUCCAAAAGCCAACUUUGAAGUCUUUACUGCUCACUGUAACCUCUGACUAACUGCCGUAAGAAGGGUGUAAGAACACUCACUUCUUCUGGCAACUCUAAGAAUUCAGUAGGUCAAUUGCUCAAUAAAUGUUAGUCAGUAUGACUACACUUAAGAUUCCCUAACAAAAGCCUCCAUGCAUGAGUGUAAGCAUAGUCCUUAAAAUACGAACUGACAUGAACAGCCCCUAAUGUUACAUCCUUAGAUCAUGUCUUAUGUAUGUAGGUCAACCAGUAUGUGUUAAUGCUUUCUUCCUUAGAGAACCGAGCAGCGUCAACCUUGUUAUAACAACAGGAAUCUGUGAAUUAAUGCUCUUUCCACAGAUCCAAUGUUAUCCACGUGGCAUUGACUAAAACACAGCCACAUCUCAACAUACAUAGUCUUUUCCAAGUUCAUUCCAUCCUUUUAUUUAUUCAACCAAUAUUAACCAUAGACACAAAGGCGUCUCUCCUAAAAGGAUUUAGAGACAUGACUAUAGGAAAUUAACUGGAAUUAAAUGAGGGUGGGACCCUGAUUCAUUAAGACUGUAGGGUUAAUCUGUCUGUCUGUCUGUCUGUUCAUUUAUUUACUUUUUAUUGACUA